GCGAUUCUUCGUCACUUGACGGUACCAGAUGAAUAAGCACCGGCUAACUCCGUGCCAGCAGCCGCGGUAAUACGGAGGGUGCAAGCGUUAUCCGGAUUCACUGGGUUUAAAGGUUGCGUAGGCGGGCAGGUAAGUCAGUGGUGAAAUCCUUGAGCUUAACUCGAGAACUGCCAUUGAUACUAUCUGUCUUGAAUAUUGUGGAGGUAAGCGGAAUAUGUCAUGUAGCGGUGAAAUGCUUAGAUAUGACAUAGAACACCUAUUGCGAA
rnacentral:rRNA from 1 species